rnacentral:rRNA from 1 species
GAUGAACGCUAGCUACAGGCUUAACACAUGCAAGUCGAGGGGCAGCAUGAACUUAGCUUGCUAAGUUUGAUGGCGACCGGCGCACGGGUGAGUAACACGUAUCCAACCUGCCGAUGACUCGGGGAUAGCCUUUCGAAAGAAAGAUUAAUACCCGAUGUUCUCACUGUUCCGCAUGUUACGGUGAGCAAAGAAUUUCGGUAUGCGAUGGCGAUGCGUCCCAUUAGCUAGUUGGCGGGGUAACGGCCCACCAAGGCUCCGAUGGGUAGGGGUUCUGAGAGGAAGGUCCCCCACACUGGAACUGAGACACGGUCCAG